GUGUACUCACUGAUAAGUGGAUAUUAGCCAAAAAGUACAGAAUACCAUGAUAUACCCCACAGACCCUAAGAAGUUAAUAAAGAAAGAUGGUUCAAGUAAAGCGCUUAAUCUCAUUUAGAAGGGGAGACAAAAUAAUCACGGGAGACAGAGGCAGGGAGGGACUUAGGUGGGGGGGGGGAGGGGGAAAUACCAAUACACAUAAACAAACAAACAAAUUAAAUACAAAUACAAAGGAGAGCCACAGUUGGGAGGAGCAGAGGUGUAUGUGGUGAGGUUAGAGGAGGAAUAUGGGUAGGAAUGAUACAAAUGCGUAGUAUGCACAUAUAACACUCUCCAAGAAUUACAAAAAGAUGUGGUUUGUUUUUUUUUUUUUUUUUUUUUUUGGUUUUGUUUUGUUUUGUUUGCUUUUUAGUAUGGAAUAGAGUUUAUCUGGGGCCUGGGGAGGAGAGUUGAAGAAGGAGUAGAGACAGAAAAAGGUAGAGAGAGGGGUGGGGGAGCAGAGGCCAUGAACAAGUGGAGCAGGGAGGGGCAGGGGAGAGAAGGAACAGAGAGGGAAGACGGUAAGAGCAAGAGAAGAAUCACAAAAAUAUUAUGCUAAACUUAAGCCAGUCUCCAGUAGGAGUUAAAACAAAAUGAGUGGCUAUUACAGACUCUGAACAAGAAAUCUUACAGGUAAGUGGGAUGACAGAAGAAUGUCUUGGAAUCUAAGAGACUGAGGAAUAAUAAUAAUAAUAAUAAUAAUAAUAAUAAUAAUAAUAAUAAUAGGAUGUAUACAGGUCCAUGCCAGCCCAGCAUACAAGUAUAUCCCAUAACCACAUUACCAAGGAGGCUGAGACAGGAGGGUUGAGGCUAGCAUUGGAUAAGCAUUGAGUUUUUGGCUAGCUAAGACUACUAUUAAAUCCCAGUUUCAAGGAAAAUUAACACCUCACAUACAAACCCCAAACGACCAAACGAAAGCAAAUUGAAAAACAAAACCUUGAAUGACAGAGAGAAGCAAUUCCUCAGUGAAGUUACAAGAACACUGUUUUUCAGAAGUGGCGUCAUCACUGACUCAACAACAGUCAGCUGCGUCUGUCCAUUGAUUGGGUGCAAAUAUCUGCAUCUGACUCUUUCAGCUGCUUGGUGGGUCUUUCGGAGGGCAUUCAUGAUAGAUCCCUGUUUGUGAGCUCUCCAUAGCCUCAGUAAGGAGAAGGGCGAUAGAUACUGUAGGAGGACCAGCAGUCUUAAUUAAUCUGGACCCUUGAGAUCUUUCAAAUACUGGACCACCAACCAAGCAGCAUACACCAGCUGAUAUGAGGACCCCAACACACAUACAGUAGAGGACUGCCCGGUCUGUGUUCAUUCAGAGAGGAUGCACCUGAUCCUCAAGAGACUGGAGGCCCCAAGGGAGUUUAGAGGUCAGGUGGGGUGGGGGGUGCGGGCAUCCAUGUGGAGAUGGCGUGUGGUGGGGAGGAGGUGUGGGAUGUGGAAUGGAAUAUGGAGUGUAAAAAAUGAAUUACAAAUAAAAUUUAAAAAAAAAGCGAUACCAAAUCAUGCUCUAUGCUCUGACUACAGUGCUGUCACCUAAUGACGUGAAAACAAGCAAUUUACUUAAACUUUCUGAGCCUCUUUCCUAAACAGUAAAAGCCUUAGGAGAGCUUUUUAUGGUAGCAUUACAGUGACCAAGGAAAACACAGCAGGUCUUCUUUUAGAUGGUUCCAGGAGAUUCAUGGGAAAACAGGGCAGCAAAUUGGGAAAAAUGAAAGUAGUGACUUUCCAGAAGUCUCUCCAUGGACUUAGUCAAGUUCAAAUUGACUACAUAAGGAGUGAGCUCAAGGUGGGGAAACUGAGGAAGGCACACUCACCUGGAAAUAUUAGUACACAGUGGAGAGGAUGGAAAAAUUAUUAAGAGAAAGAAGAAAAAGGUCUAUCUGUAGAGAUAAUUUUGAACUAUGUAUGCCAAAAGAUAAAAAACUUGACAGAGAAAAAAACCUGAAGCAAAGCAGAUGAAUGAGAGAAGGGAAAGACCAAAGACCAGCCAGGGCGCACAGUGCUGUGUAGUGUGGGACUGAAGACCAGCCAGGGCGCACAGUGCUGUGCAGCACGGGACAGGGCAUGGUAUUAAGAAUGCAAAACGAAAGCCCACAUUGGUUGAUUGCUUUUAUAGUAAUUUUGAAGGUUUUCAUAAGUCUACUACUUAAAUUUUAGCAAAAAAAAUUAUAACACAAAAUAAUUCAAUCUAGAUUUCUACUUUUUCUUUCCUGAGGACUGACACAUAGGUUUUCACAUAUCUGAACCAUAAUGAAACAGAAAAUUCGAGUAUGCUGCGUCAUGUAGAGUGGAGUACAUUAAGAGGGAUAGCCCACUUCAGAAGCCCCCUUCCGGAGUGUGCACUGAAAGAGCAGCUACAGACAGCCGCACAGUUUCUUUCCUACAGCACUGCAGGAUGCUAAGGCAAGCAUGAAAUCUUACCUUCCUUACCUAGUCAAGGAUAAAAAAGAAAAUAAAAACAGCAAAGCUUGAAUAACUUUUUUAAUGUAUAUGAGUACUCUGUAGCUGUAUUCAGACACACCAGAAGAGAGCAUCAGAUCCCAUUACAGAUGGUUGUGAGCCACCAUGUGGUUGGUGGGAUUUGAACUCAGAACCUCUGGAAGAGCAGUCAGUGCUCUUAACUAUUGAGCCAUCUCACCGGCCCAAAGCUUGAGUAAUUAACAAUGACUUAUCUGGGGAUAUCUAUCUGGGAAUGAAAAAAAAAAGCCCACCUUUUCAUUUAUGGUGAAAUAAAUGCACACGAUUUCCUAAUGAGAAAUUUCAGGAAGUUUUUACUUUGUUAUUUCAUCUUAUUAUAUACACUAAGUUUUGUAAUAUUUUCUUUCUUCUGUAAGUGUGCAAAGCCCUGUCACAUGCUUAGAGACCUUCAGAAUGUAAUUCAGAAGUAAUGUGUAUUUUUAAGGACAACCUGAAUGGGCCAUCUCAAAAUGUAGUGCUUUAGCAUAUUUCCCAAGAGGGAAUGAUUCGAAAAAGAUGACCUUUGUACAAACAAAACUACAUCUGUCUAUGUUACUGAAAAUCUUGUCCUCACAAAUAGUGACUAGAGGUAGGAACUCUAUGAAUUCUCUGUUAGUUAUUUGUUUUAAGGAGUUGCCAUCUCUCCUCUCAGGGAAAUACCCAUAAGGAGGUCAAUUACUGCAAACCUGUAUACUGUAUGGCACUAAUAGGAAAGGGUACACCAGGAAUGCAAAUGUCACCCCUUCUGCUAAGAGCAGAGGACAUGCAUUAUCCACAUUAUGGUGAAGUGCCAGUUGUGGGCAGUGUAAAUGUCCUGUGACUAAUUCCUCCAAGGCAAAUCUUAUCAUCCUAAAAGCACAUUUCAUCCACAGGGUAGGAAAAUUAGAUUAUUCAGGCUGGAGUGUGGGAUUCAGGAAGAAAUCACUUUAUGGGUACCGUUUAAAUUGAGGACUUUGUUUCUAUGGACUUUUGGUACAUAAAAAUAAAAGAUGCAGAGAGAUGGCUGAAUAUUGGCAGUAUGUACCUGAAAUUCCUUGUGGCUAGAAUGUGUCAAUAGGAAGUCUCAGAUAAAACAUAGACAGGUAAAUAAGAAUCCAAAUGGAAAUGAAAAACCUUUUUCAAAGAAACUUAAGAGAUAUGGAGGGUAGAUACAAAACAGAUUUUUGUUUUUUUUUCCAAAAAAGAGAAAGCAAUGACAGUAGACAAAUAACUUGAACCUUUUUAAGUUUUAAAUAACUGAAAGCCCUGUUAAUUAAUUUAAAUACCUUGAAACAGAAAAUGAGUCACACCUGUGAGUUCCUAAUGGCUCUUCACAGAGCCUUACCUUGUCACUAAGGUGCAUCACUAAGACUGCACAUACAUGAUGGCCCUUCUCAAAUCACAAGGUAUGACACUUCAUCUCUGAAAUGGCUUAGCUGAGAAAAAGCCUUAGAAAAGCCCAUUCUACCACAGCAGGCUCUAGGCUGGCAAAAGAAACUGUGGGAAAGAAGCUUUGUUAGCUACAAUGUGCUUAAGGGUAAUCCAAACUAAGGAGACAGCGACGUUUACACAUGGUUUGGAAUUCUUGCUUAAUAAAAUGCCAUAUACAAUUACUAUACUUGAAAACAAAUUUAUACUUUUU
rnacentral:lncRNA from 1 species